CUAAGGAGUUCAACUCGAACGCAAGUCGUUUUCUGAAACGAAAUUUAAAGGCAAAGUGAAAACAACUCUUGAUGAGAUGUUAACUGAUGCGUACGCGCUGAUGAUAAGCACAAGUGAUGAGUAGCACAGUUGUAAUUGUUGCUGACUGCACCUGAGCGUUCAGGUUGAGACCCGAAAGAUGGUGAACUAUGCCUGAGUAGAAUGAAGCCAGGGGAAACUCUGGUGGAGGUUCGUAGCGGUUUUGACGUGCAAAUCAAUCGUUAAACUUUGGUAUAGGGGCGAAAGACUAAUCGAACCAUCUA
rnacentral:rRNA from 1 species